CAAGCACUUCAGAGUUCUCUUUGAAUUCUUUCUGAUCUCUGAAAAUCAUCCAAAAUGCAAAGAGUAACUACUGUUUGAGGUUAAAAUCCUAAUCUAGGAACAGUGGCAAAAUUUUGCAACUCAUGUAACUCCUCAUAAGUAGUUUCAAAAUCUUUUAGUGAAAACAAAAAGUAUGUGUGUUUGGAUGUUGUAACCAAUACUCAGAAGACAAUGAGAACAAGAUUGAGUGUCUGCUGUUGCAGUUGGGCUGAUUGACAGUCUAUUUAUUUCCUGAUUAUGAAUAAUGGACACAGCAAAACAGAACAAGCACAGCCAGUGCUAACUACAGAUUUGACAGCAACGAAGAUGUGGAACAAAACAUCUGGUUCUUCAGGGAAAAUGGAAGGCACCACAACCAUCUUCUCAUAGAAUCACCUAUACCAGCAUUUGGCACAGAAUAGGUAUGUACAUAUAUAAUACAUUUCUCCCUGAUCCCCCUUACUUACCACUGUGUUGAGCAGAACAGAGGAAGGCCUGCCAUGUGGUCACAAACUCUGGUGCAUCUGGCCAUGACCUGCCUUUCUAGUUUCCAUGCAGCAGCAUACAAACAUUUCUUUCUGUUAUGAAGUCCUUAGAAUUCCUCUGCUAUUGGGUAAAAUGACUAAGACAAAUCUUAAAUGAAGAAAAUUAGCUUUAUUUAUGUAAAUUAGAAAAAAUGA
rnacentral:lncRNA from 1 species